rnacentral:lncRNA from 1 species
AUGUUUGCAACGGGUCCGCGGCGCAACGCCCGCGGGUCUUAUUACUAUCCUUUACUCAUAAAGUGUAGUCCAAUGAGAAGUGUCUUAGUAUAUCUAUCACAAAGUUUAGUCCAACUACGAGAAGUGUCUUAGUAUAUCAAAAAUUCGGUUGCAUUUUUUUUUUUCAAAUCGGUCGUUGGAAGUUGAUGUUCUUGCCGUUGUGUAAGGCCUGCGUAAUCCGGUGUUAAUUCCUGGUGUCGAUUUCUACCGGCGAGGGCCGCAUCUCCGGCAGCGAUUGUCUACUUCGGAGACCCAAGACGACAUCCAACGACGAUCCGGCAAACCUAUCUCCUACAUGUCACAUAUCCGGUAAAAUUGGAUGGUUACAAAUGCAUCUUUCGAGGUGAUCUACCGACAAUUGCCGGAAUCCGCUUCCUGAAGACGGCAGACUACGUGUGGCGGUGAAACCGCUGCUAAUACAACUAAAUGAGCAAAUGAAACGAUACAGGCGACCGUUGGUGAUUUUAAGGCGAUGGUUCAUUUCCAUCGACUGUUGCCCACCGACUUACCUGAUUCAUCCGCCAUAUCAUACUAUACCGGAGAUGUUGUAGAGAAAAAAUCCAAAAUUAAAGAGAUAUAAAGAGAGGAAUAAGUGGAUAAAGAAUUGAAGAGGCGGAAAUGAGGACCAAAGUGUAAAAUGCAGGGACCAAAGUGUUUUAAUGCAGGGACCAAAGUGUAAAAUGCAGGGACCAAAG